AUUGAACGCUGGCGGCAGGCCUAGCACAUGCAAGUCGAGGGGUAGAGGAAGCUUGCUUCCUUGAGACCGGCGCACGGGUGCGUAACGCGUAUGCAAUCUACCUUUUACAGAGGGAUAGCCCAGAGAAAUUUGGAUUAAUACCUCAUAGUAUCUUUGCCUGGCAUCGGGUGAUUAUUAAAGUUCCAACGGUAAAAGAUGAGAAUGCGUCCUAUUAGCUAGAUGGUAAGGUAACGGCUUACCAUGGCAACGAUAGGUAGGGGUGCUGAGAGGGAGAUCCCCCACACUGGUACUGAGACACGGACCAGACUCCUACGGGAGGCAGCAGUGAGGAAUAUUGGACAGUGGGCGCAAGCCUGAUCCAGCCAUGCCGCGUGCAGGAAGACGGUCCUAUGGAUUGUAAACUGCUUUUGUACGGGAAGAAACACUCCCUCGUGAGGGAGCUUGGCGGUACCGUAAGAAUAAGGAUCGGCUAACUCCGUGCCAGCAGCCGCCGUAAGAC
rnacentral:rRNA from 1 species